ACCUGCCACGCUUGCAGGAUGACAGGAAUCCAUCCCAGCAGCGAUGGAAACAAAACAAAGCCCUGCACAGCCACCUCAGCACCCACGCUGGAAGUGUUUAUAGCUGAGAUCCCAGAGUCCUGGUGUCCAGGAAAGCUGAGUGAUUGCAUCCUGACAUUCCUGCUGCCACGGAACAAACGGGAUGGCAGGGAACUGCCAGCGUGGAUUGAAAAGGGCCCACUCCAGCAGGAGCAAAGGAAGCAGGAGGAUUUCUCACCCCACUGGAGCCCUGCUGCUCCUUGUCUCAGAAAUGGGCACCCAGCUUCCCUGGGGAAAGGACAGGAUCUACACUGUGCUGCAUUUCCAAGGGUGUUUCCUUCCAGUCUUCUUCAGGAAAAAAAAAAACCCAGGAGAAAAGUUUGGUGUGGCAUAAGAAGAGGAUUGAAGAGAAUCCUUUCAAAUAGAAUCUGAGAAUUUCAGGAAAAAAAAAAUCCAGGAGAAAAGUUUGGUGUGGCAAAAGAAGAGGAUUGAAGAGAAUCCUUUCAAAUAGAAUCUGGGAAUCAUGGCACAGUUUGGAUUGGAAGGACCUUAAAGCUCAUCUCAUCCCAUGGCAGGCACAGGGCAGGGACUGUCCCAGGCUGCUCCCAGCCUGGCCUGGGACACUGCCAGGGAUCCAGGGGCAGCCACAGCUUCUCUGGGCACCCUGUGCCAGGGCCUCACCCCUCACAGGGAGGAAUUCCUGCCCAAAAUCCCAUCUAAACCUCUGUCUGCCCAUGGGAAGCCGUUCCCCCUUGUCCUGUCCCUCCAGUUCCAGGGCAAUCAGCUCUCAAUCCCAAGCUUCCUGUGGAUCCACAGUGAGGACCAUUAUCCCUCCAUGCCCAGCUAAUUACCUAGGCCCAAUUACCUGGGUUCUGGGCUUGUGGCCCCCCUGUUGCCCUUGCCCAGCUCUGGCUGCUGCCUGGGGGCUGUGGUCUGGGGGAACUGCAGGUCUGAAAAAGGCACAGAAAACCCAAGAGCUGCAGCUCCAGGACCUCCAUUUCCCGUUAGGACACAACCAAUAAAGCCCCAAGCACAGCAGCCAUCUGUCACCUGUCAGCUGGGGGCAAAGCUGGGGGGAAAUGAAUUCUCAAGUGCAAUUUCAGCAGCCUGUUGAUCCAGAACCAGGGAGUGGUGGGGAUGGAUCCCAUGGGAACAGGAGCUGGGUGUCACCAUCACAUUUCCUGAAAAAACCCUUUGCCCAAGAUUUCUUCUCCUGGGAAGCUGAGAAGCCUCAGGGAAAAAUGAAAACAAAAAUUAUCUGAUUGCUUCUCCUGGGUUUUGCUGCUUUGGAAUGUGGUUGGAGAUUGUUUAUCCAACAUGGGAAUUGUUUUAAUUUAAUGACCAAUCGUGGUCAGGCUGUGUCUGGACUCUAAAAAUUCACAGCUUUUUAAUUAGUGUCUUGUUAAGCCUUCUGUCUGUAUCCUUUCUGUAUUCUUUAAUAUAAUUUUAGUAUAGCAUUCUUUAAUGUAAUAUAGAUGAUAAAAUAAUAAAUCAGCCUUCUGAGAA